rnacentral:rRNA from 1 species
UACGACUACAUAUCAGGCAUAUCAAUAAGCGGAGGAAAAGAAACUAACAAGGAUUCCCUUAGUAACGGCGAGUGAAGCGGGAAGAGCUCAAAUUUUGAAAUCCUCAAGGUUUUACCUUGACGAAUUGUAGUUUAAAGAAGUGUUUUCUGUUGAAGUUUUGGUAAAAGUUCUUUGGAAUAGGACAUCAUAGAGGGUGAGAAUCCCGUAUUUGACCAUUAUUUUCAGCUGUGUGAUACACUUUCAAAGAGUCGGAUUGUUUGGGAAUGCAGUCCAAAAUGGGUGGUAAAUUUCAUCUAAAGCUAAAUAUUGGCGAGAGACCGAUAGCGAACAAGUACCGUGAGGGAAAGAUGAAAAGAACUUUGAAAAGAGAGUUAAACAGUACGUGAAAUUGUCAAAAGGGAAGCGUUUGACACCAGUGUUGUUUUCUCGAAAAUCAAUUAAAAAAAGUUGGAUUUUGUGUUGUAUUGACCUUAACAGCUUGCUUCACUCUUUUCCAGCUUUUUUUAAUGCACUUUUCGUUUAACAAGUCAACAUCAGUUUCUUUUGUUGUAAAAGGGUCAUUGGAAGGUGGCUUUCUCUUCGGAGAAAGUGUUUAUAGCCUUUGAUCUCUGCAAUCGGAGAGACUGAGGUCUGCAGCGUAGAUCCUUCGGGGUUAGAUACAUUUGUGCUAAGCUACAGCUUUCCAUAGACAACUUGUUGACUAUGUUUAGUCUUGUGACUUACCCGCUUAUGCUAUUUUACCUACGCUUAGGAUGUUGAGCGCAUGUCUCUCUC